rnacentral:lncRNA from 10 species
CCAUCAUCACCGGUUAUUAUUCCAUGAUUAACUCUCCUCUCUACCCUCAGUGGAGGCCCAGAGCAAUCAGCCUUCACAUCUGAAAGAGCCUAAUAGCAAGCUGCAGCAUUUUUGCAAUGUGAGAGUGAGGAGCUGAGAUGAAAACCCAAGCUUCCUAGUUCCUAAUCCAGAGCUUGUAGUGUCUUUGUGAUACAGCCUUGCAGAGAGGUUAAAAAAAAAUCCCCAAAUGAAAACUGAUGGCUUAUCUAUUUAAAGUAGAGGCAGCAAAUAACUCAUGAAUUCAUGCCUUUGCUUAUUACGUCCCUUGCAGUGGAGAUGGAUGGAUGAGUCGAUCUAUCUCUGCCUACAUGUCUCUCUGCACUAUGCAAGGAAGAUGAGAUAGGUUGGGGAAAGCAGUGAGGUAUGAUGGAUAGAGGACAUGGCCGAGACUCAGAGAACUGAAGAUAUAGCCCUAGUUCUGCCGACAGAGUGAACUUGAGGAAAAGAAAACAUCAGCACCAGAGCCAAACCUAUUUCUCCGGGUAAUCCAUCUCUGUACUGCUGCUCCCUGCAAAUCUCUCUCGCGUUAGGUUCCCUGGCUUCAGACUAAUGCACACACUGUAUUCCUCAGAAAUUUAGUAAGAGACCUACGUGUCUUUUGUAAUUUGUAUUAUCUGUGUCUUAUCUCCACAUAAUGUGCUAAUAUGGAAAUUAAUUUCAUGCUCAUCAGAUAGCAAAGUAAAUUAUCAAGGUAUGGGUUUCUUUUAGUAUUGUUGAAAGUUCUCCCCACCCCACUGUCUGGCAGCUGAAUACUUAAUAUUAUCCAAACAGGGAAAAUUAACUUGCUGCAAAUACAUCCGAGCUAAUUUAGAGCUGAAGCGAUUCCUUCGCUUCUCAAGCCCACGUGGGACUUGACCCUACUUGCUCAGUCUCUUCUCAUCACUCUGUCUGGGUACCCCCUGCAUCCUCUCUAACUCAACUGCCCUCCAGAAGGGAGAGGAUUCCUGCAGGGGAGGUCUGCUCAUGUUCUGGGGGCUGCCCUCCAUCAUGGCUACCUACCUUCGGAAUGUUUGCUUUCACUGGGCCCUCCUGGAUGGAUUGGCAACUCUUCCCAAGUCAGACCCUGGUAUGCCCUUGUUGGUUUCUAGCAGUUAGCAGGCUGGGCAAGGAGGCGACUGGGAAGAGUCCUCCUCAAUGAACGCAUGCGUGUAAGAGGGAAGGAAUGAACUACGAACAGGAAGUAAAUUUCUUUCCAAGAGAAAAAAGCUGGAAAAAUAAUUGUUCCUCUUGUUUAGAAGAUGACAGCUUUUUUUUUUCUUCAUUAAGCGCCCUUCUCUUCAAAAGACAAAAAAGGUAAGAUUCUCUGGGUCAGAAGCCAGACAGACUUUUUCACAGCUCUGAAAAAGUGAGAACAGCGAAUUCACUUCCCUUCUCCCAAAAGGCAUGUGCCACCGGGUGCUCCUGCUCCCUGCAAGAUCCCUUCCUGUAGAGUUAGGAGGUAGAGGUGUGGCUCCGAUGUGUUCCCCAGGCGUCCCUGUGAGGUCGGCGCCCUCCCCUGUCCAUUCCCCUUAGAGCCUUGGGUCGCUUCCCACCCCGCGUCCCCUGGGACACCACUGGACGCCUGGCCCUGCCCGUGAGCGCCGCUCCACUCCGCCUGGAUGUGGGCACGCGGGAAGGCCACUGCCCAGCCGCCACUCCCGGCUUCCCUGAAGGGCAGGGCAGGGGCGGGAACGGAAGGGAGCUGCAUGGAAGGAAGCCGUUUGGGAACUGUGGUUGGUCUGACUGGGUGUUGGGUUUGUGGCUACCCAGAGAAAGGCACGGAGUUAGCCCUUCGCAGUGGGUGACGCCCUGCUCCUCGCCCGGUCCCCCUCAGCUCAGCCUCCUGUGAAAGAGAAUCUGGGGCUACAACGCACUUCCCUCCCCAACUCCGGGGAACGCCGUCUCCCUGCAGCGUAGUAGGAAAGGCGCCCCUGCAGGGGUGCAGCUGCAGCCCCAGGGAGAAGCCCCUUCAACCCCCCACGCUAGGAGAGGCCCACCGCCCUGGCCCAGAGGUCGGCCUGGCCUCAGUUUCCCUCCCUCUGUCCUCCGCCCCCAGCUCCCUCUCCCCAGAACUAGGCAGGGCAGGACAGCCCUUGGGGGUCUUGGCUCUUUACUUGGGUCCCUUUAGAGCUCUUCCUAUCAGUGAGAGAUUUAUUCACAAAGACGAUUCUUUUUGUUGUUCUGGGGCUAUUGACUCAAAUACACAAAAUACAAACACGGAGUCACUCAGAUACUACGAUCUCUCUAGUCUGUGUUAAUCUAGUACAAUUUCUCCCUAAGUAGAACAUUGAUCCAGGCACUGACCCCAUCCCACGAUGAGGAGUAUUAUUUUCUGUUGCUCUGCACGACGAUGUCAGGACAGCAUCCCCCUUCCCCACCCUGCCCAGUCCUCCCAGGCUUGCCUGGGCCUGUGUGAAGGGAUAGUGCCUGUCCCAGAACCACCACUCACCCCUUGGUGGCAACACAAAGAAUAAGCACGACUGCUUUUGGGCCCUUAGCCCAGAUCCUGGGCCAGGUGUCCCCACACCUGUUAGGGAAGCAGUAAGGAUUUCUUCCUGUGCCAGCAAUCUCUUGCUGAGGGGAUGGGAGGGGGAUUCAUUCUCUGAUUUCACGUAUGGUUUUAGUUCCCAUGAGAUCCCCCAAGGACUUUGUAGCCACAGCUGUUUGUCUAUUCUCAGCUAUGCAGGCAGAAAGGCAGGCAACAGGGUCUUCUCCUCGGAGGAGCUAUGGUGUCUGCCUUCAGGGAGUGCUCCCACACUUCGGGAGGCUAAACUUUCCUCAUUGAGACAGCACAGCUUCCUGUGAAGCUGUAGAGUAAGGAACGCUGCCCAGCACACACUGGGGGUUGAGGGCUGUGGGGAGAGGAUCCUCACUCAGAGAGGGGGCAGGUUGCCAUCAGGCAAUGCAGGGACUUUGUCAAGGGCCAGAAAUCUGUUUUCCGUUCCUAUGUCCCACCCUGGAUCUCCUCGUUCUCCUUCCCCAGUAUUUGCCAGGCAUAGGAGACUCUGUAGUGGCUUUAACUAUGGUGCUGGAGGGAGCAUGACUGGGUUGUGUGUUUGGGGAGGGGUGGAAGAGUGGAGGUGCAUGGCAUGUAUGUGUAUGUGUACAUGGAUCACAUAUGAUGGGCACUUACAUGUUGCUUUUUAAUGAGAGAUGUAUUCAGUUCAAAGGACAUUUAAGGCGUUUAUGCUGAGCUGGUGCUGCCAGGUGUGUGCUGCUUAGAAUGAAAAGAUACAUCACACAUGUUCUAUGCAGUAAAAUAACCUCAAUCCAGUGGAACAGUGUUUCUCCAACUUUUCAGGCCGUGAUUCACAGUAAAAAUUCUUUUCUUAAAAAUUAUAUUUAUUUGUGUGAAAUAUAACAUAAAAUUUAUUAUCUUAACCAUUUUAAGUGUACAGUUCAGUAGUGUUGAGUAUAUUCAUGUACAACAGAUCUCCAUAACUCUUUCAAUGUGAAAAAUUAAACUCUGUACCCAUUAAAAAUAAAUCCCCAUUAGAAAUAUCUUUUAUGUUGCAACCUCAGUGCACACACACGUGCGUGCACGCGUGCGCACACACACACACACACACACACAACUGCUUGAAAAUUUUCGUGAAACAAAUACUUGCUCUUACUCCAUGGAACACACUCUGAUAUUCUUUUCUAUUCUACUUACUUAUUUUUGAAAAUGCUGGUCAAGACCCAAUAACUUCUUUCAGUUAGUGUGCUUUAGUGGGUUUCACACCUGCAGUUUGAAAUGCUCUGCUGUAGAAUACAGACAAGAUCACAAAUUGCCAUGUGAUCAGGCAGAGUCAGGUUCGGGGCACAGGGCAGGAGCAGGAAGACAGUUCUGGAGGAUUUGUAGGAGGGAGGGAAACCACUGAG